rnacentral:misc_RNA from 1 species
GUCUGGUUCCAAUACAAGUCAAAGGAUCCAACAAGGAUCCAAAAAUAGAUAUAGAAGAAGGUCCACUAAACCUCCUAAAAAGAGGCCCACAACCCAAACAAAACAUAAUUCUAAGCAGCCUGGGAGCACCGAACAAGAUGAAGCCGCCUGACAAGAUGCAGUGCUGCGAUCGCUGGUGAACCGGUUCUGGGGAAGAUGAAGAGAUCCACGGGAAGCACAAUGGGAGCCAUGUCAAUGAAAAGGAUUCCCCA